rnacentral:rRNA from 1 species
GACGAACGCUGGCGGCGUGCUUAACACAUGCAAGUCGAACGGAAAGGCUCCAGCUUGCUGGAGUACUCGAGUGGCGAACGGGUGAGUAACACGUGGGUAAUCUGCCCUGCACUCUGGGAUAAGCCUGGGAAACUGGGUCUAAUACUGGAUAUGACCUUUCUCCUUAUGGGGUUUGGUGGAAAGUUUUUCGGUGUAGGAUGAGCCCGCGGCCUAUCAGCUUGUUGGUGGGGUGAUGGCCUACCAAGGCGACGACGGGUAGCCGGCCUGAGAGGGUGAUCGGCCACAUUGGGACUGAGAUACGGCCCAGACUCCUACGGGAGGCAGCAGUGGGGAAUAUUGCACAAUGGGCGGAAGCCUGAUGCAGCGACGCCGCGUGAGGGAUGACGGCCUUCGGGUUGUAAACCUCUUUCAGCAGGGACGAAGCGUAAGUGACGGGACCUGCAGAAGAAGCACCGGCUAACUAUGU